rnacentral:ncRNA from 1 species
CAGUUUGAUUCUGACUGAGAUAUUAACUUUUAACCAACCAAAAUACAUGUAAAAUAUAUUAAACCCGCACUAACUAAUAUCUAAAUGAUUUAAUAAAUGUAUUUAGAAUAUUUUAUAUACAGCAGAGCGCCACAGUAAGCAAAACUUUUCAAUUUGAGAAAUCAAGAAAAGAGUAUGGUUUAAGGGCUGGCAAAAAUCGUGCCAGCUGCCGCGGUUAGACGAUAAGCCCAAGUUAAUAAAAUAUAAACUAAAUUAAUGAUAAAUUAAAAAAUAAUAAAAGUCUAAUUUUUAAAAUACUUGACUCAUAUUUAUCAAGUAAACAAUGAAAUCAUGAACUAAAACAUGGAUUAGAUACCCAUCUAUUCAUGAUAUAAAUUACAGUUGGAUAUUACGAACAACAGUUUAAAAUUCAAAGAUUUUGGCGGUGUCUUAUAAAACCAGGGGAACCUGUCUCAUAACUCGAUAAUCCACGUAUACCCAACCUUCUCUCGAAAUACAGCAUGUGUACUGCCGUUGUAAGCAUACCUUUAAAAGAUAAGUAUGCUACUAUGAUUAGAUACUAACCCAUAUACAUCAGGUCAAAGUGCAGCUAAUAAGAAGGUGAUGAUGGGUUACAACCCCAAAAUAGACUAUCAACUAAGAAAUAAAAAAUCUUACGAAAGUGGACUUGGCCGUAAUCAAUUUUAAAGUAAAGAAAUGAAUAAUAUCUAAGACAUGUACACAUCGCCCGUCACUCUACCCUAAAGGAUAGAUAAGUCGUAACAAAGUAGGUGUAAUGGAAAUUGCACCUGU